rnacentral:rRNA from 1 species
CUGGCGGCGUGCCUAAUACAUGCAAGUCGAACGGAGGUUGUAGCAAUACGACCUUAGUGGCGAACGGGUGAGUAACGCGUUGGUGACCUGCCCCGAAGUGUGGGAUAACAGCUCGAAAGGGCUGCUAAUACCGCAUGUGAUCCCCCGGAUUAGAUGCCGGGUGAUUAAAGGCGAAAGUCGCUUCGGGGAGGGGCCUGCGUCCCAUCAGCUAGUUGGUAGGGUAAUGGCCUACCAAGGCGAUGACGGGUAGGGGACCUGAGAGGGUGGCCCCCCACAAUGGAACUGAAACACGGUCCAUACACCUACGGGUGGCAGCAGUAGGGAAUAUUGGUUAAUGGGCGAAAGCCUGAACCAGCAACGCCGCGUGCGCGAUGAAGGCCUUCGGGUUGUAAAGCGCUUUUUGAGGGGAAGAGGAAGGACGGUACCCUCAGAAUAAGUCUCGGCUAACUACGUGCCAGCAGCCGCGGUAACACGUAGGAGACGAGCGUUAUCCGGAUUUACUGGGCGUAAAGCGCGUGCAGGCGGUCCAGCAAGUUGGAUGUGAAAGCUCCCGGCUUAACUGGGAGAGGUCGUUCAAUACUACUGGACUUGAGAGUGGUAGAGGGAGGUGGAAUUCCGGGUGUAGUGGUGAAAUGCGUAGAUAUCCGGAGGAACACCAGUGGCGAAAGCGGCCUCCUGGACCACUUCUGACGCUCAGACGCGAAAGCUAGGGUAGCGAACGGGAUUAGAGACCCCGGUAGUCACUAGCCGUAAACGAUGUAGACUUGGCGUUGGUGGGUUCAAAUCCAUCAGUGCCGAAGCUAAAGCGAUAAGUCUACCGCCUGGGGACUACGGCCGCUUAAAACUCAAAGGACAUUGACGGGGCCCCGC